rnacentral:rRNA from 1 species
GGGCCCGCACAAGCGGUGGAGCAUGUGGUUUAAUUCGAUGAUACGCGAGGAACCUUACCAGGGCUUAAAUGUAGUCUGACAGGGGUGGAAACACCCCCUCCUUCGGGCAGAUUACAAGGUGCUGCAUGGUUGUCGUCAGCUCGUGCCGUGAGGUGUCAGGUUAAGUCCUAUAACGAGCGCAACCCCUGCCGUUAGUUGCCAGCAUGUAAUGAUGGGAACUCUAACGGGACUGCCGGUGCAAACCGCGAGGAAGGUGGGGAUGACGUCAAAUCAUCACGGCCCUUACGUCCUGGGCUACACACGUGCUACAAUGGCCGGUACAGAGGGCAGCCACACCGCAAGGUGGAGCGAAUCCUUAAAACCGGUCUCAGUUCGGAUCGGGGUCUGCAACUCGGCCCCGUGAAGCUGGAAUCGCUAGUAAUCGG